AUUGAACGCUGGCGGCAUGCCUUACACAUGCAAGUCGAACGGCAGCACGGGAGCAAUCCUGGUGGCGAGUGGCGAACGGGUGAGUAAUAUAUCGGAACGUGCCCAGUCGUGGGGGAUAACGCAGCGAAAGCUGUGCUAAUACCGCAUACGAGCUACGGAUGAAAGCGGGGGAUCGCAAGACCUCGCGCGAUUGGAGCGGCGGAUAUCAGAUUAGCUAGUUGGUGAGGUAAAGGCUCACCAAGGCGACAAUCUGUAGCUGGUCUGAGAGGACGACCAGCCACACUGGAACUGAGACACGGUCCAGACUCCUACGGGAGGCAGCAGUGGGGAAUUUUGGACAAUGGGCGAAAGCCUGAUCCAGCAAUGCCGCGUGCAGGAUGAAGGCCUUCGGGUUGUAAACUGCUUUUGUACGGAACGAAACGGUGAGCUCUAAUACAGUUUGCUAAUGACGGUACCGUAAGAAUAAGCACCGGCUAACUACGUGCCAGCCGCCGCAGUAA
rnacentral:rRNA from 1 species